CACUAGUAAUCGGGAAUCAGCCACGUCCCGGUGAAUACGUUCUCGGAUCUUGUACUCACCGCCCGUCACACCAAGAGAGUCGGUAACACCCGAAGACCCCGCAUCAAACCGGGGGCUACGGUGGGAUCGAUGAUAAGGGUGAAGUCGUAACAAGGCAUCGGUAGCGGAAGCUGUCGAUGGAUCACCUCCUUUCUAGGGA
rnacentral:rRNA from 1 species